rnacentral:rRNA from 1 species
GCGCAAGGGUGCGUACGCGUGAGCAACAUGCCCGUAUCAGGGGGAUAAUCCAGGGAAACGUGGUCUAAUACCGCAUAAUGAUCCUUUGAGGCAUCUUUAAGGAUUUAAAAUUUCGAUGGAUACGGAUUGGCUCGCGUGACAUUAGCUGGAUGGUAGGGUAACGGCCUACCAUGGCUACGAUGUCUAGGGGUUCUGAGAGGAAGGUCCCCCACACUGGAACUGAGACACUGUCCAGACUCCUACGGGAGGCAGCAGUGAGGAAUAUUGGACAAUGGAUGGAAAUCUGAUCCAGCCAU